ensembl:processed_transcript
AGACCACAGCAGUGCAGGAUCCGUUUACUGAGCUCUGUUCAUUCUGGGAUGCUUUCAACUGGGGAAAUGGAUUACAGACAGAAGGACCCGUCCUGCUUCAGAUACAGCACUUUUCCUGGACGCCGUCAUUCACACGUACUCCAGCAUGACCCAACCUCCUCUUACCUGUCAGACAGCAGUGACCCAAACACCUGGUUGACCCAGCACUCCAGAGCAGCACGCAACAUCUAUCACACCACCCAGCAGAACCAGACACCCGUACCAACCACAUAUCCCUCCCAGAGAAAACUAUCUCGCAGAGAGCUCGCCGAAUACAUCAGCGAAGUGAGAAACCUCGUACUAAGAGAAAAGCAGAGAUGCGAUAAAGUGAGG